rnacentral:tRNA from 1 species
UCCCCAGUAGCUCAGUCGGCAGAGCAGAUGGCUGUUAACCAUCGGGUCCGCGGUUCAAGUCCGUGCUGGGGAGCCA